UACGUAGGGUGCGAGCGUUGUCCGGAAUUAUUGGGCGUAAAGAGCUUGUAGGCGGUUUGUCGCGUCUGCUGUGAAAAUCCGGGGCUCAACCCCAAGCCUGCGGUCGAUACGGGCAGGCUAGAGUUCGGUAGGGGAGACUGGAAUUCCUGGUGUAGCGGUGAAAUGCGCAGAUAUCAGGAGGAACACCGAUGGCGAAGGCAGGUCUCUGGGCCGAUACUGACGCUGAGACGCGAAAGCGUGGGGAGCAAACAGG
rnacentral:rRNA from 1 species